GGGGGUGUGAUGGGUGAGACAUACUGAUGUCUCCUCCUGCCAGAGGUCACUAUGUUCCUAAUGCUCUUUAGGGGGGGUGUGACUAGUUGGCCACUGGCGAGCACGAUCGGGCUCAGCUAGUUGCCGAAUUUGGUGUCAAGCUCUCCACCAUCCCCGGGGUCACUGGCGCAAGGGCGUGACUCUAAGUGAGCUCCCUACGUACUCAUUGUACUAGGCGGCGGGCAUCGGGCUCUUGAGGGAUAGGAGCUCGGUGUCUCCAUGAAGAAGGAGCUUCA
rnacentral:misc_RNA from 1 species